GAGUUUGAUCGUGGCUCAGAUUGAACGCUGGCGGCAUGCUUUACACAUGCAAGUCGAACGGUAACGCGGGGGCAACCCUGGCGACGAGUGGCGAACGGGUGAGUAAUACAUCGGAACGUGUCCUGGAGUGGGGGAUAGCUCGGCGAAAGCCGGAUUAAUACCGCAUACGCUCUGAGGAGGAAAGCGGGGGACCUUCGGGCCUCGCGCUGCGGGAGCGGCCGAUGUCGGAUUAGCUAGUUGGUGGGGUAAAGGCCUACCAAGGCGACGAUCCGUAGCUGGUCUGAGAGGAUGAUCAGCCACACUGGGACUGAGACACGGCCCAGACUCCUACGGGAGGCAGCAGUGGGGAAUUUUGGACAAUGGGGGCAACCCUGAUCCAGCCAUGCCGCGUGAGUGAAGAAGGCC
rnacentral:rRNA from 1 species